AAACACAGAUAAAAAGAUCAAUAACCUAAAGGGUAUUAUAUUUUCUUAAAUGACUCAUUAAAGGAGCUCAAUAGAUUUCGGGGGCUGGCCCGGAGUCUGAGACGCUUCUGCUUGAGGUUGCUGCAUGUCAUGGUUCACAGCGACUACAGCAGCACAGAGCAUCAGCAGCAGGAC